ensembl:lncRNA
ACCCAUCAGCCCUUUGGUUUCAGGUCCUUGGACUCAAACUGAACUGCAUCACCAGCUCUUCUGGGUCUUCAGCUUGCAGGUGGCAGAUCAUGGGGCUUCUCAACCGCCAUAAUCAUGCUGCUCCAGUGAUCCAGCCCAGCCUGAAGCCAGUGGGCACAGGAGCACACAUCCGCCUCAUGAGGAGAAGUGUGGAAAGCGGAUGAAUGGAAGACACCUCUGCAACAGACCCCAAGGAAGAAUACAUUCUGCCAAUUAAACUAUGAGCCACUGUUCCCUUGGCACUUGAAAUUUUUGUAUUAUACCUACUGAAAGAGCUCUGUUAGACAUAUAAAAGGAAUUUGUUUUUAUCAUGUAGUACUUUUCUGGAUUUAAGGUAACUUCACAUUUCAAUACUAAACAAAAGUAUAAUUUUUUGGAAAACAUUUUGUGGCAAAUAUUUUUUCCCCAAAGGUGAUCACGAUAGCAGUUCUUGCCCAACAUGUGCUUCCGGCACUUCACGACUGCCACACUAAGAAGGGAACUCUAGUUUCUCCUCGCUUGAAUCUAGGCUCUUUUGUGACUUGCUUGUAACCGAUAGACACCAUCUGAGGUGGUGCCUCAUGACUUCUGGAGCCAGCUCUUAAAACGAGAAUGUAAAUUCCACCUUAUUUGCUUGAAUGGUUACUCUGGAGCCCAGAGCUUCCUUGUUAACAGUCUGGUUGGUCCCUGGCCGCUGUGUUCGGAGGAACCCAAACUAGUACAACUCAGGAGGAUUCCAUGGAGAAGUCUUGGGACCAGUGAAGUGAGAUCGAUGCUAGGCCAGUUUCCAGCUGCUCCUGCUCCCUCCACCUCACUUAUUCUGGUUCCAGCCAAUCUGGGACUGCAAUCUCAUGAGAGAUAUUUUAACCAGAAGCAUCCAGUCAAGACUUCCUGAAUGUCUGGCCCACAGAAACUGAGAUGAUAAGAUGAUUGCUGUUGUUUUAAGCCAUCGAGUUUUGAGGUGAUUAGCUAUGUAACAAGAGUAACCAAAGCAAUUUUGAAUGCCAGUUAUACUCAACAGAUAUAGUGCCAGUGAUGUCUGUAAUUAACUGAAGUGAUGACAAUAAGAAUAACUAUAAGCAAGUUUGCACAGGCAGUGAUAACUAUGUUAUCUUGGCCAGUCUCCUGGCCAAAAACAUUUGUGAAGUGCCAUACGUUUUAAGAUGCUUCCUAGUGAGAAAGAAAAUGAAGUUUAGUAUUGACAAAAUGUGGUAGUAUUGGUGUCGAGAGAGGGACAAAACUAAGUAGGGUUGGGAACUGGUAGAUAAAGUGAUUUUGAAAAAGCUUAAUAUUUAAUAGUUAAGAUGAUACAUACUCAUUUACUUAAUAAGUAAAUAUCAAAGGAGAAAAACCUAUUUAGAUCAUGAAAUCACCAAAUGUAGCCAUCCAGAGAUACACAUUCAGAUUUCUAAAGGUACAUGGAUGCAUGUAUAGAUGUGUGGACAUAUGCUUUAUAAUUGAAUUCAUCUCUUACUGCAGCCUAUUAUUCCACCAGUCAAAAAUGUGCUAACUUCAUGUUUCUACCUCAAAAGACGUAAAACUGCAUUCUUUUAUCUUAAUGAUAGCAGAGUCUCUCAUUUACUU